GCUCCUGCAGCAGAACAACACUAGAAGCAAAUUGACUGAAAUGUAACCUAAGUACACGCUUCCUUGGAGACGCCGGUGCAGUGUAGAACAUUAUACAACGGGGAUUAGGCUGCAUCCACAAAGUGUUGCCAUAAAUCUCUCUGAUGUGGCGUUACUAAAACUAGCAAUUUCACAAUUUCCACGAGUGACACCAGCGACUUUACGACUGAAUGUUGACCUAACGCGUGCCAUAAGGUCCCGUUUAUUUUUCCUUCGCAUACGAUCGCUCAGUGCAAGUCUGCUGGUCCCUGCGAGC